CGUGGGUAACCUACCUCAUAGUGGGGGAUAACAGUCGGAAACGACUGCUAAUACCGCAUAGGACAUGGGAUCACAUGAUUCCGUGAGGAAAGGUGGCGCAAGCUAUCGCUAAGAGAUGGACCCGCGGUGCAUUAGCUAGUUGGUAGGGUAACGGCCUACCAAGGCAAUGAUGCAUAGCCGACCUGAGAGGGUGAUCGGCCACAUUGGGACUGAGACACGGCCCAA
rnacentral:rRNA from 1 species